rnacentral:rRNA from 1 species
AACAGGUCAACAUUCCUGUACCACUGUCAUAGCGUUAUCAGCGAAGGGGGGACGCAGAAGGGUAGGCACCGCCGGGUCCCUGGAAUACCCGGUCCAAGCCCGUAGGCGGGUCUCGUCGGCAAAUCCGCGGGGCCGUUAACGCCGAGAGGUGAUGGGGAGGCCGUAAGGCCAUAAACGGGCUGAUCCCAUGCUGCCGAGAAAAGCCUCGUAGCGAGUUAUGAUAGUGUCCGUACCGCAAUCCGACACAGGUAGGUGGGUAGAAUAUACCAAGGGGCGUGAGAGAACACUUCCUAAGGAACUUUGCAAUUUAGCCCCGUAACUUCGGGAGAAGGGGUGCCACGCGUAGGUGAGAUUGUACAAAUUAAGCCGAACGUGGUUGCAAUAAAGUGGCUCUAGCGACUGUUUACCAAAAACACAGGACUCUGCGAACACGCAAGUGGACGUAUAGGGUCUGACGCCUGCCCGGUGCUGGAAGGUUAACCGGAGGAGUUAGCCGCAAGGCAACGCUCUGAAGGGAAGCCCCAGUAAACGGCGGCCGUAACUAUAAUGGUCCUAAGGUAGCGAAAUUCCUUGUCGGGUAAGUUCCGACCUGCAUGAAUGGCGUAACGACUGGAGCACUGUCUCGGGAAGUGACUCAGCGAAUUUGUUGUUCCGGUGAAGAAGCCGGGUGCCCGCAACUAGACGGAAAGACCCUGUGCACCUUUACUACAACUUGACAUUGGAUGUUGGAAUGCGCUGUGUAGGAUGGGUGGGAGCCUGUGAAGCCUGGCCGCUAGGUCGGGUGGAGGCAACGUUGAAAUACCACCCUGAACGUUCUGAUAUUCUAACUCGGCUCUGUAAUCCAGAGCGAAGACAGUGUCUGGCGGGUAGUUUGACUGGGGCGGUCGCCUCCCAAAAAGUAACGGAGGCGUUCAAAGGUUCCCUCAGGCUGGUCGGUAAUCAGCCGUCGAGUGCAAAGGCAUAAGGGAGCUUGACUGCGAGAGUGACAGCUCGAGCAGAGACGAAAGUCGGACUUAGUGAUCCGGUGGUUCUGCGUGGAAGGGCCAUCGCUCAACGGAUAAAAGGUACGCCGGGGAUAACAGGCUGAUCUCCCCCAAGAGUUCACAUCGACGGGGAGGUUUGGCACCUCGAUGUCGACUCAUCGCAUCCUGGGGCUGAAGCUGGUCCCAAGGGUUAGGCUGUUCGCCUAUUAAAGCGGUACGAGAGUUGGGUUCAGAACGUCGUGAGACAGUUCGGUCCCUAUCUGUUGUGGGCGGAGGAGAGUUGAGAGGGGCUUUCACUAGUACGAGAGGACUGUGAAGGACGGACCUCUAGUGUGCCGGUUGUCGCGCCAGCGGCAGCGCCGGGUAGCUAUGUUCGGAAGCGAUAAUCGCUGAAAGCAUCUAAGCGAGAAGCGUGCCUCAAGAUAAGCUCUCCCGUAGCAAUAUGCUACCUAAAGACCACUUGUAGACCACGAGUUUGAUAGGCUGGGUGUGGAAGGCGUGUAAGCGCUGUAGCUAACCAGUGCUAAUCGGUCGUGCGGUUUAACAUC